UACGAAGGGGGCUAGCGUUAAUCGGAAUUACUGGGCGUAAAGCGUGCGCAGGCGGUUUUGUAAGUCUGUCGUGAAAUCCCCGGGCUCAACCUGGGAAUUGCGAUGGAGACUGCAAGGCUAGAAUCUGGCAGAGGGGGGUAGAAUUCCACGUGUAGCAGUGAAAUGCGUAGAGAUGUGGAGGAACACCGAUGGCGAAGGCAGCCCCCUGGGUCAAGAUUGACGCUCAUGCACGAAAGCGUGGGGAGCAAACAGG
rnacentral:rRNA from 1 species